UACGAAGGGGGCGAGCGUUGUUCGGAUUUACGGGGCGUAAAGGGCGCGCAGGCGGCUAUCCAAGUCAGGCGUGAAAGCCCCGGGCUUAACCUGGGAGGUGCGUCUGGGACUGGGUGGCUAGAGUUCGGGAGAGGAGAGUGGAAUUCCCAGUGUAGAGGUGAAAUUCGUAGAUAUUGGGAAGAACACCGGUGGCGAAGGCGGCUCUCUGGACCGAAACUGACGCUGAGGCGCGAAAGCGUGGGGAGCAAACAGG
rnacentral:rRNA from 1 species